UACGGGGGGGGCAAGCGUUGUUCGGAAUUACUGGGCGUAAGGGGCUCGUAGGCGGCCAACUAAGUCAGACGUGAAAUCCCUCGGCUUAACCGGGGAACUGCGUCUGAUACUGGAUGGCUUGAGUUUGGGAGAGGGAUGCGGAAUUCCAGGUGUAGCGGUGAAAUGCGUAGAUAUCUGGAGGAACACCGGUGGCGAAGGCGGCAUCCUGGACCAACACUGACGCUGAGGAGCGAAAGCCAGGGGAGCAAACGGG
rnacentral:rRNA from 1 species